AUGAAGGAAGAAGUUACUAGCUAUUUUUUAAAGCUCUUUACCUCCCAUGCAGGAAAUCGCCACGACGAGCUCCUGGCUAGUGUGCACCCGCGAGUCACCCCAGCCAUGAAUGAUCUUCUUCAGAGAGAGUAUGCACAGGAGGAGGUUUUUGAUGCAUUGAAGAGCAUUGGAGAUCUAAAAGCGCCUGGUCCGGACGGAAUGCCUUCGGUCUUCUAUAAGAGAUGUUGGGACAUUGUUGGAGACGAUGUUGUGACUGAGGUUCUAGCAGUGUUGAAUGGUGGACCUAUGCCAGAUGGGUGGAGUGAGACGUAUGUGGUGCUGAUCCCAAAAGUUAAAAGUCCAGAGAGGGGUGUCACUACUGAAAGAAGGGCUGGUAUACAGGGUGGGCGAUGGUACUUCGAUCAAAAUCUGGUCCGACCCUUGGCUCUCUCGGGAUGGUGUGAGAACCCCAACAACACAGAGGGGGGAUGCUUACUAACCAGGGUCUGCGAGCUGGUGGAUCCGGAUACCCAAAGCUGGGAUGAAAGGCUUGUGGAGGAUAUUUUUAGAGAGGAUGAUGCCAGUAUCAUACUUGCUACUCCGGUCCGAGAGGAACACGAUGAUUUCUAUGCAUGGCACUAUGAUAGCAAAGGAAUAUUCUCUGUCAAGUCUGCCUACAAGGUUUAUGUCUCGGGGAGGGAUGCAUGUCUUCCACAAUGUGUGAAUCCACAACCAAACAGCUGGGGAUGGAAGGAAAUAUGGAGCAUACCUUGCCAACCAAAGAUUCAGCAGUUCAUAUGGCGACUAGCACACAACAACCUACCUCUGAAACUUAGGAUGCACAUGAACUGCUGCUUGAAAUGCUGCGACUGCCGGAAGAUAGGAAAGUUCUGGUUGGGUGGCUGGGGCUUCGCGAUCCGGGAUCAGGCUGGGGAUGUACGAGGAUCAAGUGCAGGCUUUCUGAGCCAUGUGGCUUCAGCGAUACAGACUGAAGUAGAGGGGUGUGCAAUGGCACUUGCGGCAGCGUCCAGCUGGGGUAUGACAGACAUCGAGGUUGAAUUGGACUGUCAACAGUUGGUUAACGCCCUGAAUGGUACUGGAUUCGACCUGGCACCUGAAGGCAUCCUUUUCAGGGAGAUACGUGCGUUCGCAAGCCUGAACUUCAACUCUGUUUCUUUUAACUAG
rnacentral:rRNA from 1 species